rnacentral:rRNA from 1 species
GGCGAGUCACUUCGACGCGGGGAGGUCCCGCCUGCCCUGUGACCACAAAGUUUAACGGCCGCGGUAUCCUGACGAGCGAAGGUAGCGUAAUCAUUUGUCUUUUAAAUAGAGACCUGAAUGAAUGGCAUAACGAGGGCUUAACUGUCUCCUCCCCCGAGUCAAUGAAAUUGAUCUGCCCGUGCAGAAGCGGACAUAAACACAUAAGACGAGAAGACCCUAUGGAGCUUUAGACAAAAGAUCAAACAUGUAAAGAAACCAAACUAACCAAAAGGAAUACAAAAGCCACAAAACCCAGUGUAAACUGAUCCAAAUGUCUUCGGUUGGGGCGACCAUGGGGGAAAGAAAAGCCCCCACGAGGAACAGGGACAACCCCUAAACUAAGAGAGACACCUCUAAGCAACAGAAAAUCUGACCAAAAAUUUUUUUUUUACACUGAUCCUGAUCAACGAACCAAGUUACCCUAGGGAUAACAGCGCAAUCCUUUCCCAGAGUCCAUAUCGACGAAAGGGUUUACGACCUCGAUGUUGGAUCAGGACAUCCUAAUGGUGCAGCCGCUAUUAAGGGUUCGUUUGUUCAACGAUUAAUAGUCCUACGUGAUCUGUUCCCAAAAACCGGGA